CUUCAAGUUGUUUUACAGGAGACCAGUCGCCAAAUGAGAGAGACCUGACCAAAGCUGAUACCGGUAUCUGACGAUGAGACAGUGAACCAGUCCUAAACCUGAACUGUGAUUGUAACCAAAGUGCCAAGAAUCUGAACCGAGCUACUGUUGAUGCUGAAACCGAUCUUCUACCACAAGACAACUACUCCAAAAGACUAUAUAUAUAAAUAUGUGUAUAUAUACGCGGGAUAUAAACAAAUACAUGACAUAUAAGUGUUACGUAAAAAUAGUAUGGAAUAAGGGGUGGAGAAUGUAGUAGUUUUAAGACUAGGCCUUCCUUGGUGACCAGGUUGUAACCAAGGAACCAAGGACAUGUUCCCAGUAUUCCAUACGAUUUUUACGUAAGCAAGAGUAUAAAUAAGAAGAGAGAGGAAACUCUCGCUCUCUUUCUUCCGGUGGACCGAAGGCGAAGGUAGCUUUGCUGUCGCUCUGCCCGGGUGAGGGAGUGAGGCCUAGCGCAUCUGGUUGGCCUUGAGAGGCAGAGCGUGCCGGUGGUUGUGUGGUGUGGUUCGCUAUCUCUGGAGGGAAGUAUUUGCAUUGUAUCCCUUUUUAUCCCUUUUUCCUUUUCCCUUUCCCUUCCCUUUCCCCCUUUAGGGGGUUCCCUGUAUAUAAUUUUCUUUUUAUAUAUAAAUCUUCCACUUAAAAUUCA